rnacentral:rRNA from 1 species
AUUAAUAAUUAAUAUAUUUAAUAAAAAUAAUUUUAAUUUAAUAAAUAUUUUAAUGGGGGUUAAAGUAUUUUUUAAAGAAAAAAUUUUUAAAUUUAUAGUUAAUUAGUAUUGUGAAAGAAUUUUGAAAUAUUAUGAAAAAUAAAAUUUUUAUAAAGUAAUUUUUAUUUAUUGUAUCUUGUGUAUCAGAGUUUAUUAAAAAUUUUUAAUUUAUAAAUUAAUUUCUCGAAUUUAAAAGAGUUAAAUAAUUAUUAAAGUUAUUGUAGCAAAAUUAUUUUAAAUAAUUAUUUAGAAAUGAAAUGUUAAUCGUUUUUAAAUAUAUCUAGUUUUUAUAGAAAAAAAUUUAAUUUUAAAUUUAAAAAUUAUUUAAUUAAUUUAUUAAUUAAAUAAUUAUUUAAAUUUUAUAAUUUAAGGGAUAAGCUUUAAAUUAAAUUUUUAUAAUAUUAAAUUUUUAUUUUGAAAAUUUUAUAAUUUAUAUUGUUAAUAAAUUUUAUUUUGUUAUAAAUAAUUUCAUUUUUUUUAAAAUUUAAAUUUUAUUUAAUUUUUUAUAUAAAAUUUAUUUAUAAUUAUAUAAAGUUAAUUAUAAUGAUAAAAUUAGUAUAUUAUUUAAUAUUAAAUUAAAAUUAAUUUUUGAUUAAUAAUUAAAUUAAUUAAAAGGAAUUCGGCAAAUAUUUAUUUUCACUUGUUUAUCAAAAACAUGUCUUUUUGUUAUUUAAUUUAAAGUCUAAUCUGCCCACUGAUUUAUAAAAAUUGAAGGGCUGCAGUAUAUUGACUGUACAAAGGUAGCAUAAUCAUUAGUCUCUUAAUUGGUGACUUGUAUGAAAGAUUGGAUGAAAAAUAUACUGUCUCUUAAUUAAUAUAUAGAAUUUAAUUUUUUAUUUAAAAAGUUAAAAUAAUUUAAAAAGACGAGAAGACCCUAUAGAGUUUAAUAAAUUAUUUUAUAAAAGUUUUAUUUAUAUUUACUAAUAAUUUUAUAAAUUUAUUUAUUUUGUUGGGGUGAUAAAAAAAUAAAUUUAACUUUUUUUAAGUAAUUUACAUGAAUAAGUGAUUAAU